UACGGAGGAUGCAAGCGUUAUCCGGAAUUAUUGGGCGUAAAGCGUCCGCAAGUGGCGAUUCAAGUCUGCGGUCAAAGACUGGGGCUUAACCCUGGAAAGGCCGUGGAAACUGAAUAGCUAGAGUGCAGUAGGGGUAGAGGGAAUUCCCGGUGUAGCGGUGAAAUGCGUAGAGCUCGGGAAGAACAUCGGUGGCGAAAGCGCUCUGCUGGACUGCAACUGACACUCAGGGACGAAAGCUAGGGGAGCGAAUGGG
rnacentral:rRNA from 1 species